UUACAUUCAAUGUUAAAUAUAUAAUUAAUUAAUAUAAUUGAUUUAAUUAAAAAAAAUUAUAAAAAAAUAUUUAAAAUAAAUUGUAAAUAAUUAUAGUUUUUCAUGAUAAUAAAAAAAUUGUGAUAUUAUUAGUUUUGAAAUAUUAAUAAUAAAAAUGAUUAACUUUUAGAAUAUUAAUAAUAGAAAUAAUUGAUUUUUAAAUAUAGAAUUAAUAAUUAAAAAUCAAUUAUAUUAAUUAUUAUUAGUAUUUAAUAAAGUA
rnacentral:lncRNA from 1 species